GACGUAGGGCGCGAGCGUUGUCCGGAUUUAUUGGGCGUAAAGAGCUCGUAGGCGGCUUGUCGCGUCGUUCGUGAAAACCCACAGCUCAACUGUGGGCUUGCGGUCGAUACGGGCAUCACUGGAGUUCGGCAGGGGAGACUGGAAUUCCUGGUGUAGCGGUGAAAUGCGCAGAUAUCAGGAGGAACACCGGUGGCGAAGGCGGGUCUCUGGGCCGAUACUGACGCUGAGGAGCGAAAGCGUGGGGAGCGAACAGG
rnacentral:rRNA from 1 species